rnacentral:snRNA from 1 species
AUCGCUUCUCGGCCUUUUGGCUAAGAUCAAGUGUAGAAUCAUUAAUGUUUGAACAUCACUUAUGGGUAUAUACAGCACCUAAC